CAUACUCUAACAUUAUAAGGAGUUACUCAUCGCUUCGUUAGGCAAGAGCAAAAGAUUGGACUCAACCCAGGGGCCAACGACUAAGUAACUGAUUAAACAAAUUACAGCUCCUCCAGAUGAUGGAACACUAUUCAGCUAUUAUUUUUAAAAAUGAAGGAGCUCUGUAUGCACUUACAUGGGAAGAAAGAGACUGAAAGCAUGAACAAAAAGAACACGAGUGAUACAGGUGGAGUGGGGCUUCAGAAAGACGGCAGGGUUCUAGCAGCCAUGGAUAAUCGGAUGACCAAGCUCUUAUGGGAAGAUGAUGUGUUCCCAAGGGGAUCCAUCUCCCAUGCUCUUCUUACAGUGUGACUGACAUCUUCUCCCUCAAGAGGUGAGAUCUAUGUCCCCUUUUCUUGGAUAUGGCUGGGGGAGAGGGAAUGCUCCAGCCAACAAAGUAUGGUGGAAAUGAUGCUACACUUUCUUCCAAGGCUGGGUCCUGGAACUACAGCUUCCACCUGUCUCUCAGUCUCACUCUUAGGAUGCCUGCCCUUAGCAACCAGCAACCACACUGCGAGAAAGCACAACCCAGCCCACAGAUAGAUGACAUGGAUAGGGCCCCGUGGAGUAGAACUGAGGCCUCAAGCCAACAGCCAGCAUCAAACUGCAGCCAAAUGAAUGAAGCUUCUGAUGAUUCCAGGGCUCAGGCUUUGAGCUGCCCCAGCUGAUGCAAAGUAGAGCAGCAAUGAGCUAUCCCCAACGAACUCUACCCAAAUUGCAGCUUCAUGUGCAAAAUAAAUGUGUCUUGUU